AGAGUUUGAUCCUGGCUCAGGAUGAACGCUAGCGGCAGGCUUAACACAUGCAAGUCGAGGGGUCAGCGGGGAGUAGCAAUACUCCGCCGGCGACCGGCGCACGGGUGCGUAACGCGUAUGCAACCUACCUUUAACAGGGGCAUAACACUGAGAAAUUGGUACUAAUUCCCCAUAACAUUCGAGAAGGCAUCUUCUUGGGUUAAAAACUCCGGUGGUUAAAGAUGGGGCAUGCGUUGUAUUAGCUAGUUGGUGGAGGUAACCGGCUCACCAAGGCAACGAUACGAUAGGGGGACUGAGACGGUUAACCCCCCACAUUGGUACUGAGACACGGACCAAACUCCUACGGGAGGCAACA
rnacentral:rRNA from 1 species